rnacentral:rRNA from 2 species
AACUGCGAGUGAAGCGGGAAAAGCUCAAAUUUAAAAUCUGGCAGUCUUUUGGCUGUCCGAGUUGUAAUUUAGAGAAGCGUCUUCCGCGCCGGACCGUGCACAAGUCUCCUGGAAUGGAGCGUCAUAGAGGGUGAGAAUCCCGUCUUUGGCAUGGACACCCGGGGCUUCUGCGAUGCGCUCUCGAAGAGUCGAGUUGUUUGGGAAUGCAGCUCAAAAUGGGUGGUGAACUCCAUCUAAAGCUAAAUAUUGGCGAGAGACCGAUAGCGAACAAGUACCGUGAGGGAAAGAUGAAAAGCACUUUGGAAAGAGAGUGAAACAGUACGUGAAAUUGUUGAAAGGGAAACGCUUGAAGUCAGUCGCGUCGAUCGAGACUCAGCCUUGCCUUGGCUUGGCAUACUUCUCGGCUGACGGGCCAGCAUCAAUUUUGUCUCUCGGAUAAUGACAAGGGAAAGGUGGCACCUUCACCGGUGUGUUAUAGUCUCCUGUCGCAUGCGAGGGGUGGGAUUGAGGAACUCAGCACGCACCUCUUGGUGUCGGGGCUUCUGCCC